GCGGUGUCUAGAGGGUGGGUAGGCUAGUAACCAGUUGGCGGCGGAUUGGUGUUGGUGAAUGCGUGAGUACUUCCGUGCGGGUCGUGGCUGUGAUGAUGUAUUUGCGGUGCUAUCAUGAAUCUGUAGUGUUGAAAUCGCUAAAAUAGUGUGGCCCAAGAGAGGAGCGAGCGGUGCAAGAAGAGCCGUGUGUGAGGGAGGUGAAACGCCAGCCGUGAGUCAGUAUUUACGAGGCCCGGUGUGUGAUGCAGCGCGCGGCCGUAACUUUCCCCGCCAGUGCUGACCGUUUAUUAUCACUUUCCUGCCUCCCUUCACCUUCACGUCGCCUGACACGCACCUGACGGAGGCCAUCUGAUCCAAUUACAGGAAGAAGAAGAAGAGGUCAAAGAACUGGACUAAACUAACCAUUCAUCGAGCUCCCUUCCCUUCAUCCCCACCCACGAGCCGACAAAACACACCGGAGUGUGGUGAGAGGACAUUUUUCUGCUGCGGGGCCAGUAGGAGGAGCGAGGCCAAAAGAUAAGACAUGGGAUGUUCACCGCACCUCGCCCUCCCUUCGCCAGCUAUCGCCGGCCAUUCAUUCAUUCAUUCAUUCAUACAUUCAUUCCUCGCCUCCCGGAGCGGUCGGUCACUUAGUCACUUCAACGCCUGGAGUGAAACCGAGGACUCGCUACAUCAUGGAGAGACACAAUCCAGACCAGAGGCGCCUGAGAGAGAUCUUUCGAAUCUAUGUGUUAGCGGCGUCGAUCCUGUUCGUGGCCGCCCGCCUGGAGAUCCACCCUUCACCGGGGAUCAUCAGCGACAACACCUCGAUGGAGAUUGGCGCCAAGGACGAGGUGUACAUCUACUGCUGGGAGGGAGAAGAAAAAGAUCAAAAUCGCUGGGUGGUGUGGCAGACGAACAAUGGCACCGUGGGAUCCUUCGUGCAGGGGCGCCGAGUGUUUGUCGUCGGCUGCUACUCCCGCAUCCCUCACUGCAUCCUCAUCUUCAUGGAUUUUCGCAGCGACUUGGCGGAUUGGUAUGGCUGUCUCUCGCAGCAGCCCGGCACUCCGACCGUCUCCUCGUGGGUCUACAUCAAGGACGCCCCACCAUCAAGACGUGUGGUGGACGUGGGCUGCUGCAGACCGUGGGCAAAGGCAGGAGAGGCGGCAGCUUGUCUUGCCAAUAACUCCACGGGAUGUCUGGGCGUCUACUAGGGGGAGAUGGAGGACGCGGCGAGCUGGUGACGGGAGCAGCAGUGAUCUUUGAAUGAAACAUGAAAGCUGUUGAUAUUAUAGUGUAUUCCGUUGAUAUAUAUCUUCGUAAAUUUUCUAUAAACACGUUUCCUGCAAAGUACAUGGUGAUUUGUACUAAGCGUUUCCUAUAGUGCGUAAGAAUAUAAGAACAUAAAGAACAUAAAGGAAGCUGCAAGAAGCCAUCAGACUUAUACAUGGCAGACCCUGUGUAAUUCAUGAUGUGAGCUGAUUCUCCUUUGACCUCUAUAUCACGACUGAAAUGUAACUAACGUAGACUAAAUUAAAAUAGAGUUAAUCAGCUAUCAUUCUACCUGAUCAGCGUUUAAGUAAAAUCCUUCUUUUCACUUUUACACUUUAUGCCACGACCUUAAUGUUUCUAAGUACAAUAAAUCACUUCAUUAUCAUUCUACCA